GACGAACGCUGGCGGCGUGCUUAACACAUGCAAGUCGAACGGGUCUGCCCUGUUUUUUGCGGGGUGGGUCAGUGGCGAACGGGUGAGUAACACGUGAGUAACCUGCCCCUCACUUCUGGAUAACCGCUUGAAAGGGUGGCUAAUACGGGGUGUUCUGGCUGUGCCGCAUGGUGUGGCUGGGAAAGAUUCACUUUUGUGGUGUUUUGGUGGGGGAUGGGCUCGCGGCCUAUCAGCUUGUUGGUGGGGUGAUGGCCUGCCAAGGCUUUGACGGGUAGCCGGCCUGGGAGGGUGGGCGGUCACACUGGGACUGAGAUACGGCCCAGACUCCGGCGGGAGGCAGCAGUGGGGGGUAGUGCACAAUGGGCGGAAGCCUGAUGCAGCGACGUCGCGUGAGGGAUGGAGGCCUUCGGGUUGUGAACCUCUUUCGCCGGUGAAGAAGGUCCUGCUCUUUGUGGUGGGGUUGACGGUAGCCGGGUUAUGAAGCGCCGGCUAACUACGUG
rnacentral:rRNA from 1 species